UCGCUACUACCGAUUGAAUGGCUUAGUGAGCUCCAUGAACUGUGAAUUUUUGGGGGUUUCCCCAGAUGUUCACGGGAAGUGGAUCAAACUUGAUCAUUUAGAGGAAGUAA
rnacentral:rRNA from 1 species